AACGAACGCUGGCGGCAGGCCUAACACAUGCAAGUCGAGCGCCCUUUCGGGGGAGCGGCGGACGGGUGAGUAACGCGUGGGAAUAUGCCCUUCUCUACGGUAUAGCCUCGGGAAACUGAGAGUAAUACCGUAUACGCCCUGUGGGGGAAAGAUUUAUCGGGGAAGGAUUAGCCCGCGUUGGAUUAGGUAGUUGGUGGGGUAAUGGCCUACCAAGCCGACGAUCCAUAGCUGGUUUGAGAGGAUGAUCAGCCACACUGGGACUGAGACACGGCCCAGACUCCUACGGGAGGCAGCAGUGGGGAAUCUUAGACAAUGGGGGCAACCCUGAUCUAGCCAUGCCGCGUGAGUGAUGAAGGCCUUAGGGUUGUAAAGCUCUUUCAGCUGGGAAGAUAAUGACGGUACCAGCAGAAGAAGCCCCGGCUAACUCCGUG
rnacentral:rRNA from 1 species